rnacentral:tRNA from 2 species
GGUGGGGUUCCCGAGCGGCCAAAGGGAGCAGACUGUAAAUCUGCCGUCAUCGACUUCGAAGGUUCGAGUCCUUCCCCCACCACCA